ensembl:lncRNA
GGGGGGGGAGUUCAGUGCUGACCUUAGACUAUAAGCUGCAGUCAGAGCACAGCAGUCUGAGGGCUUUGACCAGCGGCUCCCAGGGCUGCAUGUUGGCUGCUCUCUGAUUUAUUGGGAGGGUCAUUCACAGAUUAUUUCAAACCCGUUACGUUUUUAAUGUAAAAUCAUGUUUCCCGCGGAUUCAAUUAAAAAAAUUAAAUGUUUUUUCACUUUAGUGGGGAGCCUUUAAAGAAGUUUCAGAAGGACUGAAAGUUUCUGAUUUUGUUGUUUGUUCGAUUAUGAAACCACUUGGAUCCAAGUAUGGACAUUUUUAAGGGAGCCUGCUGAGCAUAUUCCAUUUAGAGUUUGACUUGAAAGAUCAUAUUGAUCACCUAGAGAGUUUUGUCCUCAUUAAAUGCUUCCACUUAGGUCAAGUUCACUUGCUUUGGAGUAAUUCAAUUUAGUGCUGAGCUAUUCACAACUAACAAGGCAUUUCAUUGAAUGAUGGAACUAUCUUUGUGUUCACAACAGAUAUGCGCUUGGAUAACUGGCAAAGAAAAACAUAAUACGGCCAAUGCUACAUGUUUGCGAAACCUUUUCUUGGGUGUCCUGGAUGCUGUCUGGAUUUCAUGAAAUCACAUAAAAGCGAAUCCUUUUAGGCGUAUCCUUUUGGUGCAAAACACAGAUUUUAUGGCCAAUCAGUGACCUGUAGCACGAAACAGAGAGGCAGCUGUUGUCCAAUUGUGGCUCCUAACGACGUUGGUGUGGAUACAGCAAGAGCAUCAGUUAUGUCAGAAUUGAGGAGUAUUUCAGAAGAGCAAAGGCAAUGAAGGCUAUUCUUGGUGUAAAUGAUGUUUAGCUUGAUCUCCUAACUAGCUUCUUGAGAGCCUGCCCAACAGAUGGUUCAGCCAAUCACCUGCAGGCAUUUGUUAAGUUUAACCAUUUUUUGAGUGCCUGACUUGCCAUUUUCUAAACGGUUUCUCAGACUUUUCUGUUUAGGAAACCACCAAGUUGCUUUCUUGCUCACACACCAAACGAAAUAAAAUCUUGGUGCGGCAACAAAAUAUCCCGAGCAGCAUUUGUGUAUGACAUCCUUCUCAUUCUUUUGUUAAAGGCCUAAAGAUGAACAACUGUUCAGUAAUUCACAAUUUUUUUUUCUUUUUUAUUGCAUUAAUAAUCCAGCAAGCAUUCAGAAUAAUAGUGUUAGAUUUAAACCUCAAGCAGCAAAAGAGCAUAAUUGAUACAACUGCAUAAAAACACUAUUUUGGGUUUUAAACCUUGAUUGUGAUUUAACUGGUGAGGUCACAACUACAGUCCUGUGUAAUCCUCACCCAAAGAAUUUCUAACAAACACUGGAAUAACAAAGAAAUAGGUUAUAGGUUAUAUUGCCAUGUGGCAGACAGCAAAUUCGACAGCAAAUGUUCUCAAUAAGACAGCAACAGUGAAUCCAUUUGGGUUGGCUAAUAUUGCACCAGAUCUAGAAGAACGUGCAGUCUCCCGACCGACCUCUACCACGUCCAUCCUCGUUUUAAUGCUUUUGUUAUUCAGGACGACGGCAGGUGAUCAAGAAACAAAGGUGACCGACAACAGUCCCUUUGUACCUCACCGUCUCAACAGACACAUUUCGGCGUAAUGCCUUUCUCACCGGUCAAUGUGAAAGCCAGGUAAGAACUACUGCUGCACAAUGAGGGUCAGACCACACUGCCGGUAGGAGGACCAAAAACCCGAGCUCAUGAUUCAUUCAUUACGUCGUUAAGAGUUUCCAGAGUGUCAACAGCUUGUCUUUGAAGUGAUAAUCUUAACAUUGAGGGUGUCCUUGAAUUUCUUCUCUCCAUUAAAAUGGUUAAUGGAAAAUGAUUUAUAUAAUCCAGCAAGGAGGAGUUCCCUGCCUACUGUUAGUUAAACCAUGUCUAAUAAAUCUUUGGGGAAAAGACAGAAAAUAUGGGAAGCUCUAAGAAAGCUUUGGGCAUUUCUCUCCCAGUUUGCAUAUUAUAUGGGUGUAUGUGCAAUUAAUAGUUUUACACUGUUGUAGAAUUGUCAUUGAGGGCUAUUCAGUACGAAGCUGCAUUAUACAGUAAAGUUCUGUGUUUUCUGUGUAUACAUGACAGCCCACAGAUUGUGGAUGUAGGAUAACAGAAAAUAAAAGAACUGUGACUGUAUACAGCAGUUCUGUACAAUGACAUUGACUUCUUUUUUCUUUUUUUUAGUUUGAUAGCAUUUUCUUUUCAAUUUGGUUGAAAGAAUGAAACCCUUAAAAAACACUGUUGAGACCACCACAUCCAAAAAGAAUCCAGAACUGCUCAAAUUCAGCUGGCAUAUUAAAAAAGCAAAAAUGAAACAAGUCAUGUUAACAAAAUAUUAUCGUUAAUUUCAGAACAAAAUGUUAACAGUCAAAAUAAGAUGAAUGUAACGCCAACAUCCAGCUUAAAAUCUGCCACAUCAAGGAAAUCCUUUAAUAGCAGUACGAUUCAUUUCAACUAUUCACCUUAAAACACUGAUAUAAUUCGCUGUUAUUCAUUGUAUGAUUAAAGGCAGCCGGGAGCUGUGGUGACGAUCCCCCACAGAAAGCGUAAUCCAAGCUCAUUUUAAGCUUAUGUUCUAAGAGGGGACUUUAAACACAAGCAUAUGGUGACGGCUUUAUAUCAUACUUAGUGAUCCCAGUGGGGGUCUAAUCAAUAAAGAACAUGAUCUUUAGAUGUAUUAUGUUUUUGAGGGAAAUACAGUUAAAAAAUCAAAUAAAAUCCUUUUUACAAAAGGAAGAGUGAUCCCUGCCAUCCCAGCUUUGAAAUGUUGGAAACGUAGCAAAUCAACCAACUGUCAUGCUGUAGCUUUUAUUCAUUUUGUUGCACAAUGAUGAAGCAAUUCAUAGGCUGGUUUGUGCUCAGAUCUAAAGUGUGCCCGAAAUGAAAUAUAUGUAUUUUUAAGGAAAAAAUAGGGAUCGUUUGUUGUCCCACAGGAGGAGGGGUAUGUUUAGUUUUGCUGGAGGUAGGAGUUGAUUCAGAGAGGGAGAUAAGCUCAGCUCUUCAUAACUGGGCCAUUUAGUCCCCAGCCACCCAGCCUCUCUGCCUUUGGCAAACACAUCAUUUUAUUGUGACCCCAGCCGGCAGCAAAACAGUCAGCCUAUAAGCCAUCAGUAAUGAAAAGCGCUAAUUCCAGACUGGUGAGCACAAACGGAGACACCCGCUUCAUGUUCAUGCGCUGUGCUUCUCCGUUGCACUCCAUAUCAACCGGUUCAUCCAUUCACAGCAGUCAGACCCCCCCUCCCCCCCUAAGCAAAGAGCAUCCUUAAUUUACUUGACAAGCACCGCGGACCCUCAAGGUUCGCCUCAACUAAAACAAUUAAAUAGCUCCCACUGUCUUCACAAAAUGGGUUAGAAAUGCAACAAAAUAAUUCGCUUGAUAAAGUUUUGAAUGUCUUCAGCGGUUGUUACAUAAGAAACAUGUCAUCGUCAUAUCGCAUGUGACAGUUUGAUAAAUUGCUCUGCAGCUCAUUCUAGUGAGACAUUCUGUCUUUUGUCUCUAGCCCAAAACUAGAGAUUAAACAAACUGAAUCCAUAAUUCCCGAGUUCAGUGAUCUCACUUGUUUUAAAAGGUAUGGUGCACCCCCUGGAGACGUUGCAUGAAAUAAACAAAGUGUGUAUUCUCAGCUGGGUGCAUUUGCCAGCGGGGCCUCACGACCCACGUCUGGGUUAUUUCAACAGCUGUUUCUAUGGGCCUAGGGAAGGAAGCGUGUCAAGUAGGAUGCCUUCUGCUGUCACAAGCUCUUUUUAAAAUAUGGUAAUGCAAUCAACAUAACACACACAUCGGCCCUUGUGACAAGGAUCUGGCAGUACCCAACUGUUUCCACUUGUGCGAUGGUCUGAAAGUGUGUACCUGUUUCUCACUACCGCACAGCAGGAGGUGUCAGAGGGCCGGAUACUUUACUGAGGUCCCUGAGGCCACAAGGGGUUAACUUGUGAUGUCUUGGUAGCUCUAGCGUUAGGAAAUAUUGAUCAGGCAUUCUGAAUUAAAGGGAGAGCAAAUCGAAUAUUCACUUUGACAUAAGUGGACACACAGAUGGUGUCAACAAACACACACUCCUGAUCUUCUAUCGCAAUGCAUUCCUUUGAAUUAUAGUGUAUAAUGUUUUAGAUAUUUCAUGAUUAUGGUGUUUAAUUUAUGUUGACCAUGAGAGUAAAAAAACUGAUAUUGGUCGCAGCCGGCUGAGAAAAUAGACAUACAUUGAUUUGGCAAAUUCAAGAGGACAGCCACGUUGAAGAAGAUUUUAGUAGUAGUACUAUGAUCAAUAUGUAUAUACAUAUACAUGCAUAUACACGUACAUAUAUACAUGCAUAUACACAUACAUAUAUACAUGCAUAUACACAUACAUACAUACAUGCAUAUACACAUACAUACAUACAUGCAUAUACACAUACAUACAUACAUGCAUAUACACAUACAUACAUACAUACAUAUACACAUACAUACAUACAUACAUGCAUAUACACAUACAUACAUACAUGCAUAUACACAUACAUAUACACAUACACAUAUAACAAAUGGAAUACACCUACUCCCAUUCUAACCUCUUUGUACAAUAUUUAAGUUGGAUUCAGAAUUAAAUGUUAUGCUGAUGAACUUGAGGCGUAGCCACAAGCAAAGUCAUGUCAUCUAAAUUUAAAGGUUGAGUGACAAGGUACUUGACACAAUCUCGUCCCCGUGGGCUGUGAAACAGAUUACCUGAGGGCAAGACAAGUGGCUAUAACAGUUGCCGGCAGACUAAAUGAAACCAUUUCUGUCUAACUUGAAGAGUAUAGCAGUGCAGGAAUACUGCUUUCAGUUGUAUGAUCAGUUGAGAUUUUGUUUUUGAGCUGCUGACAGAGAGACAUCAGCUACAAUGUCCUCAGUACACUGAUUGUGACUGACGUGUAUACACUAUGUAUGAACGUUGUACUGCUACGAACACAAAUUCGUUCGCUGAAUCACUAUAAGUAAGAAGAAUAGAUUACCCUCCCUCAUGGCAAGGUGUUCUUUAUGUUAAUAGCAUAAACACUCAAUACACAUUAGCCACAGACAGAUCCAGCGCUGCAACCCACGGCCGUCACUUGUUUUAAUGGCGUCGUUACUGUGACAUGUGUAAAUACGCAACAUUACCUCUAAUGAGAACAGAGAGUGGGCGUCCGUGUUGUCAGUCUCACCAUGGCCGUCCUGAUCAGCUCCAGACUGCAUGGCAUGUUCACAAAGAAGCAGACACCAUGUCACCAGUAACAUCAAGGCUUCAUUGAACACUGUCUGACUAUCAGCGCUGGGAUGAGAGCUAUAUUCAUCAGCCUGCCGGUAAUUAAUGUCUGCAUGAAUGAAUGCGAGAAGGAGACACACCCGGGAGUCAUAAUGCACACCUAGACGUGCAAAUGCUGCCACCGCUCAAAGAUAAGAUGAUUAGUUCAUCCUUUUCUGCCGCUGUUGAAAUUACAACCAGUCGAACGUUUGGCAAAACAAAAAAAAGAUAGUCAUUAGUCAUUCUGAUAGUGGUUGCAAGGAGGUUUUUAGAAAGGCAUUACGUCAUUUAAAAAAGCUCCAGAAUGUUGCCUUCACGCAGGGUUGAUGGAAACAAAAAUGUACCAUGGUUUGUCCCUGACUUGUGGCUCUUUGAUUGUAACAGAUUGGCAAGGAAGGGGGCUAUUUGAAACUGGGUCUCUGGAACACCGGCUUUGAGGUUAGGGUUAAAUGGGAUUGCUCCCUUUGAAACAUUUUGAUGACCUACCACAGCUGAGUCUGCAGGUUGUCCUGCUUGCUUUGAAGCGUAUUAUGUGGCUGAGAUUGAGCAGAACUCGGGGCUUAUCGCAGGCACACGCACACUUUCUCACACACACACACACACACACACACACACACACACACACACAUGCUGCAGUUUAGGCAACUGUAGAGGGUGGAGAAACUACUUUAACCAAAUGAAGUCCUUAUGGGGUGGAGGUUUCUGGGAAAGACGUUUGACAUUGUUAUUUAAAUAAUAGACAAAACAUAGUUAAGAGUCAUUAAAUAGGACUUCCUCAAUCUAUUCCAUUCACAGCCCUGCCGCAGCAUACAAAUAGUGGCUUUCCAUCUCCCUUUGCAUCUGUCCAUCCAUUUAUCUAAAUUACAGAGACAUAUUGAAAAUCAUGUCUAUUUUGUGAAUUUCAGCAUUCACAUAGGAAUUGCACAUUAUUUAUUUGUUUGAACUGUAAUCAAACAUGUGUGCAUUAUUCAAAGAAUAAUAGCAUCCAAAUUUACAGUGAUAUUUGCAAUUUUUUCACCAAAUUAAUGUAAUUUGCCAAAGAUGUCUGACCACUUCUCCUAUCCUUAUAUGAUUCAAUCGAGACACAGAAACCAAACGCAAGUUGUUUUUGGAGUUUCACCAGUGAUUUUCCAAGAUGUCCAUCAGGGUCAAACGCCUGUAAAUCUCUUAACAAGGACAAGUAAGCAUUAAGUGCCUGGUAGACAUUCUGCAGGGUUUUUUUUCCAUUUCAUUCAUUUAUCACUAGAUUUGUUGUCUUUUGUGAGUAAAGCUUGACCCAUGGCACCCUGGCACUUGUCUGAGCCAGCCUCCUGAGGAAACCCAUUUUGGCCGCUUAUACCCGUGACCUAGUAUUUCAGUCGUAACCCAUCCUUCAUGACCAUCGGUGAGGGUAGGAAUGGAGAUUGACCGGUAGAUCAAGAGCUUUGCCUUCCGGCUCAACUCUCUUUUCGUCACAACUGUGCGGUAAAGCGAGUGCAAUACCACCCCCGUUGCUCCGAUUCUCCAGCCAAACUCUUCCUCCAUCUUCCCCUCUCCCGUGAACAAGACCCCGAGGUACGUGAACUCCUUUGCUUGGGUGUAAGGACACAUUCCCUACCGGGAGUAGGCAAUCGAUCGGUUUCCUGCUGAGAACCAUGGGCUCAGAUUUAGAGGUGCUGAUCCUCACCCCAACCGCUUCACACUGCCAGCGCUGCGAACUGCUCCAGUGAGAGCUGAAGGUCAGACAGAAGAUGGCAUCAGGACCACAUCAUCUGCAAAAAACAACAACAACGAGAUCGCAGCACCCCAAACCCCAAACCUUGCCCCCCAGACCACGCCUCCAUAUCCUGUCCAUUAAUACCACAAACAGUAUUGGUGACAGGACGCAGCCCUGGCGAAGGCCGACCCCCACUGGAAACGACUCUGACUUACUGCCGAGGACCCGAACACAGCUCUUGCUUUGGGCGUACAGGCAUUGGAUGUGUGUACUCCCGGAGCACCUCCCACAAUGAAUUAUAAUCUUGCUACUUUAUUAAAAUGAACACAAAAAACUAGGUUCUCCCUCUAUUUCUCGAUCUUCCGAGCUCUUUGUCUCUAUCUAUCCAUCACAGCCUUAAUAAAUCGAAUGAUUGACCAAUUGUCCAAGUCAUGUGCUUUUAUGAACUAAUGUGGUGAUAAACACAAGCACAGCAAACAAAACUAUACCAACCAAGAACACAUCACCUCUACCCCCGUUUUUUAGCUGUUUAGUGCCACAUGAGCUCCAUCUAUGAUCAAAGUCUUUAUCGGUCAAAUGUGUCCUGGCCAUUAUAAAGCUGUGUGCAUGUCAAUGGGUCCCAUGCUGUUCCACAGCACAUAUACAUAUUGUAUUCUGGCAGAGCAAUAAACAACAUCAACCACAGUGACUUCUUUUAAUAUCAGUCUCCCUUUGAUUCUUGGCAGUUGCAUUUGGGGUAUGAUUGAGAUUAGAUCUUACACAGUGUAAGUGUUAGAUGAUGCUGUAUAAAGAGGGCGAUGCCCCUGACAUUUGAAAGCGCUUCCUUUGACUGUGUUCGUGCAAUCAUUUUUGAGAAGGCUCGUUAAGUUUGCACUUACCGCACUUACUGUCUUUAUUCUUUUUUGCUUGUGUCUGGAUAUCAACAACUCGCCCAACUACCUUUUUAAACAUUUAGUUUCAGCUUUCUCUUUCCUUCACUCUACCCUGACCUUUGUGUUUAUGCUCAAAAUCUCAUCUGCCUACCGGUAUUCACGAUUGGCCUAAAGAACAUAGACAGCCCGAUGCAUUCUGAUACACUCUUCUACGCGGUCACAUAGGCGAACAGACAUGCAGCACCUUUAUUUUCCCUCUCUGUCUCGCAGAGGUCGUCCGUCUAUUUCUGCCCCGGCUUGUUGCUACCUUAGCGGUGGCAAGGUGGUAAUGGAGGGCUGACUGAGGCCUGUCACUUCAUGCUCUUUCACCCCGGAGACUGUGAGUGGGAAAGUAAUGGCCAAGCCUGCCAGAUGUAGCAGUCACUUUUAAUCAAGUGCAAGGCUGUCACUCUGCCUGUAUUGAUCCCUGUGAAAUCCCCAGGCAGCCUGCAAUCGGUCCGGUUUUUACACCAAAACAACUUUCCUCUCGCCUCUCAAACAAGUCCCAAUGUGGUGGCAUCUUGGCCAAGUUAAUCAUAAUCCAGUUCCGACGUAAAAAAAAAAAAAAAAGCAACCACAGAAAACAAGAUCGGACAGGGUCAUUGCCCCCCCCCCCCCCCCCCACCCCAUUUACUGCGUGUUACUCACACACCAUCUCCUCGAGCAAGUCGUUAUUUCAUGUGAAACAUAUCACGUAACUCGCGCGUCCGUGCCUUUGUGUCUGUGGCUCUCACUACAUCGGUGCGUUCACGCACGGCUUUGUGUUUUUCAAGACAACAUGCCUAUUAGCGUUACAGGCUCAAAGCAUCGGGUGCUUGAGUAAAUCCUCCAUCGUCACACUGUUCAGAUGCAAGGUUUGCUUAAAACGUUGCCACGGUUAAGUAGCUGCUGUGAAGUCGCGCUUGUCUCGUUGUCACCUCAUUCAACAGAAGUGCGUGCUAUCGCGAGAACGGGUGAAAGUCAGAAUUUGGAACCUGACUCUCCUUUUUUUUCUCCCAAAGAUCUGUUGCAAGGCUCUGGUUUUAUUGUUCAUUUGCUGAGGCCACCGGGUCUGACUAUUACUGGGUCAUAACUCGGCAGGAUGAUGAGACUGCAUUCUAAUGUGGAUCCAUCACCAAUGGGGAUGGGAGGGAGGUGGCAGGAAGGAGAGUGGGAGGACUCAUGGGGAGAUGGGAAUAAAGUGUCAUGAGCACACACACAUUAACACACACACACACACAAAGCACUUGUAUGCCAACACACACAAGCUCCUUUGUACUGCUAAUGUAAUUUUGGUUUGUGUAAAAUAAGACAUCAGAUCUGUAUUAUGGUCACAUCUUUUAUACCAUGACACAAGGGAAGUCCAGAGUACAGCGGAGGCCCUUUUGCAGGAUGUCACUUGCUCUUCCUGUUCAUCACCAAAACUCUGUGAGAGGAUCAUGGCAGUGUGGAAGAGAGAGGAGGGAGAGGAGCUGAAGAAUAAUCUGCUCCCCCAACCAGACGCAGGGUUGACUCCGUUUGGUAAAGCUCACUGACAGAUGCUUAGAGUAAGAGUAAAAGGAAAGGUGUUCGGCAGUGACAUGUGAAAUAGAGGGCAUACUGCCGAGCCCCCUGCAUUGCAGAUGUACUCCACUGCGCCACAUGAGGAACAAGGCAGCGAUGUGGAGGAACAUCUUUUGAGAGAACUUGGUGAAGCAGGAUAUUGUUUGUUUUUCUUGUGAUUUUUCUUAGAAUACUAAUUAACAAUAGUGACUGAAUGAAUAUGCAGAUUAUAAUGCAGUAAAACUCUGCAGUGACAGGAAUAAAUGGUUUAAGUCAAAUGUCAUAAUAUGAUAUGAGAAGAAAUCAACGGAUAUACAAAGUAUCUGUGGGAGUACAAGUAUGCAUAUUCUUCUUGCUGUCAUUUCUAUUGAAAUGGAGUU